rnacentral:rRNA from 1 species
AUUGAACGCUGGCGGCAGGCCUAACACAUGCAAGUCGAGCGGUAGAGAGGUGCUUGCAUCUCUUGAGAGCGGCGGACGGGUGAGUAAUGCCUAGGAAUCUGCCCUAGUGGUGGGGGAUAACGUUUCGGAAACGGACGCUAAUACCGCAUACGUCCUACGGGAGAAAGCGGGGGAUCUUCGGACCUCGCGCCAUUAGAUGAGCCUAGGUCGGAUUAGCUAGUUGGUGAGGUAAAUGGCUCACCAAGGCGACGAUCCGUAACUGGUCUG